rnacentral:ncRNA from 2 species
UAGUAAGUUUAUUACUCGGGUGCCCCAAACACACCAAAAACCAGGUGCCAUGGGGAUAAUAGGGAACCAGGUGAAAGUCCUGGACGGUCCGGCCACUGUAAAUGGCGAGCCUCCUUUUAAUUGCCACCGGCGUAACCGGGAAGGCUAAAGGCGGGCGGUGAACCAUAAGUCAGGAGACCUACCCGGGUUACACACAUAGU